GACGAACGCUGGCGGCGUGCUUAACACAUGCAAGUCGUACGGUAAGGCCCUUUCGGGGGUACACGAGUGGCGAACGGGUGAGUAACACGUGAGUAACCUGCCCACAACUUUGGGAUAACGCUAGGAAACUGGUGCUAAUACUGGAUAUGUGCUCCUGCUGCAUGGUGGGGGUUGGAAAGCUCCGGCGGUUGUGGAUGGACUCGCGGCCUAUCAGCUUGUUGGUGGGGUAGUGGCCUACCAAGGCGGCGACGGGUAGCCGGCCUGAGAGGGUGACCGGCCACAUUGGGACUGAGAUAAGGCCCAGACUCCUACGGGAGGCAGCAGUGGGGAAGAGUGCACAAUGGGCGCAAGCCUGAUGCAGCAACGCCGCGUGGGGGAUGACGGCCUUCGGGUUGUAAACCGCUUUCAGCAGGGACGAAGCUUUUUGUGACGGUACCUGCAGAAGAAGCACCGGCUAACUACGUG
rnacentral:rRNA from 1 species